GCCUUGGUGGUGCAGUGGUUAAGCACUUGGUUGCUAACCAAGAGGUUGGUAGUUCAAACCCACCAGGCA
rfam:Loxodonta africana unplaced genomic scaffold scaffold_8, whole genome shotgun sequence.